rnacentral:lncRNA from 1 species
CCAGCCACUUAUUGGAGUCAGACCUCUGCAUCGCAUCCAUAUAGAUGAUCGGAUCCUCAUUGUUCUCAUCAAGUUCAACUGGAUCUUCAUCUCAGACUAAGAAAUCGUAGUAUCUAUCCGAUUGAUGUGGUACUCUAUUGAAUCUCCUUAAAGAUAUUUCUACAAUAGGUUUUGAAUUUGAUCUAAUCAAGUCCAACUCUAUGGGUUUACUAGAUUGUGUUAGUUCUUCUAUCUAUCGAACUUCAUCAAGUUC